UGGAGGAGUGCUAAGGAGCCCAGCGAGGGUGCCUACAAGAGGAGUCAAAGGGCAAAGGGUGUGUGUGUAUUGCUGAACACGAGGACCUGAGAUCAGUGGCCAAUGCUGUCACCAACAACUUGGACGAAAAAAAAAUCCUCCCAGUCUGCUGCUCCCCUGGGCUUCAGAGUUCCACAUGGCCAAACUUGGAAACUUCUAGACUCACCAUAACUCAGAUUUUCACCUGACUCUACAACUGUUAAUAUGUUCCUAAAUGUUGCUGCCGAUCUGACUCACAUGUUUAGUGAUUAGAUGGGCCUCAGUUGCAUUAGGUCACAGUGACUGUCCCAAUCCCUAUCUUAUCUAAUUGGUGUUGUCUUUUGAGUGGCAGGGAGGAGACAGAUAACUAUUCAUACUAUUCCAUCAGAACUUCUCACAUGCUAAAAACAGCAAGAAUAGAAACAAUAUACAACAAAUAUAAAAAAUUCAAAGGCAAAAGGAAGACAAAAAUCCUAUUCACUUUUAAGAAGUCCUCAACAAUUACCCAAGCCACUCUGUUUCUGAUACUAAUCAUUUUAUGCAUG
rnacentral:lncRNA from 1 species